rnacentral:lncRNA from 1 species
UCUCCUGUUUGCUGGGGUUAAAUUCAGCAAUCACCAAGAUCGACGCGAUUGCGCGAUGUCGUCCUCACUGUCCGCUGUUGUUCAUCAUCGAAGCUGCUGCCCACCUCGCGACGAAUGUUGUCGCCACCAUCAUCUACCCAUGAGGAUCCGAGCCACUGCACAAGGUAAUCUCCAUCUUCCGCUGCAUCUUGAUGGACUCCUACAUCGCUUAUGAGCUUAUCCCCAACUGCAUGCGAGGAGGAAAAAUCUUCUACACGGUGUUCUUUUGGUCUGCAGUCUCUCUCUCUCUCUCUAAUCUAUUUCGUCAUAUCUUCCAUGUUUAUUCAUGUGCUCUCAAAACUGAUGGAGAAUACUUUUAUCUAUUAUGGCUGUCAAGCAUACCAAAUCGAUUUGCCAACAAGGACCUUUAUUUGUGUGCCAUAUCUUCCAUGUACAUAUUCAUGUGCUACUCAAUACCGAUGGACAAUAUAUUUAUAUUAGAAAGUUGUAAUGCAGGCAAAUAGUUACUGGGGCUUGCAAGGUUAACUGCUCGAUCCAUGGAUACAAUUUAGCAUCUAUAAUGAAAUCACAAGGUAUCACUUUGGUCAUACAUUUUCUGCUUGACAUUUUUAAGCCUCGCUACUAUUGUUCAUUCGUUGUGACCAAAAGCAUUUCUAUUCUUUUAAUAUACAUCAGCCUAUACAAUUGUUGGUACAAAUCGCAAUCUUCGAAUAUGAUUUUCAGUGAUAUUUGCUGAUUUAUGAAGUUUUAUAUGUCACCAAUCAUCGCCUCUACUUGAGAAAUGCUUGCGCCUAAGUUGGGCUGCAGGCCAAGGAGAUGGACUAGCUGACAAACGACCAUGCUUACUCUGCUAAAUCUACAUCUAGGCAGGGUUUCAAUUGAGCCUUUGCGCUAGAUCAACACAUUUCACAGUUGUUGCCACCAGGAAAAUCAGUAUUUUGGUUUCUCUUUAAGUUUCAUCAAGCAUACACACAUCUUCAAGGGCAAGAGUGUUUCUAGCCUGUGAUGUUGCUAGACUUUUGGAAAUUCUGACAGUAUUACAGUUCAUAUUUUCCAAAUAUGUGUAUAAUGAUGAAUAUUCGCCUUCACAUGUUCAAUGAUCUGUAGACUUUGGUCCAUUUAAACUUCUACUACUUCCUGUUCUGUUGCUAAUUUGAUGUACUGAAAAUGCAGACUUGGAGCAGAGUAAGGAGAUUACAACAGUCGAUGUAUAAUUGUUGUGCAUAUACUCAGGGUGUUCCUUAAUUAGAAGUUUAUUUCAACAUCUUUGUUAAAUAUUCUAGCAUGAUCAUUUACCAUGGGACAAAGUAUUAUGGUAAGCACAUUAGCCUAUGGUGAUGUUGAUGCAAACUGACACAAAGCUAUUGCUAAGAUGAUG